GGCCUGUGUACAGAGCGCGCGUCUCAGGAGAGACUCCAGUUUUCGUCAGACGGUCAAGGGAGCAGUGACCACCCCCCACCCCCCAAGCAGUAAGAACAAGUCACCUGAGGCCGAUCUUCUGCCCGGGCCACCGGCCCCACCCCAGAAGCCGCCACAGGAAACUUUCAAGCGCUAAUUCGAAAAAGAAAUGUUUACAGGACUUCCGCCAAGUCAAAGAAAAGCACCGGCAGCUGCCCUCUCUCUGCCGCACAGGACUGCUCGGUGCCCCGCUCCUCACCCCGACCCACCCCACGACACAGCCGCCACGGCCGCCCCACACGUCCAGCCCAGGUCCACGGCCUUCCCUCCGGCCACCAUGGCCUCCCUCGCCCCGCUGGUCCCCGUGGCCCCAGAAGUGCCCACGUCCCUCACUGCCCGUCGGCCAGGGCCCUCGCUGUGGGCACCCAAGCACUCGGCCGUCCACCUGAGGAGCGUCCCUCAAGUCCGGGUCCCGCGCCGAGCCCUGCGUGCCUGCGGUCUCUGGUCGUCAAACCCACCGGGUGGGGUGGCAUUUUUAUGAAGUUCACACGGUGACAAUUAUGCUUCCACAGUAAAACUUUAACCAUGCUCUACUCCUCCUCCCCUCCCCCACUGCCCGUUCCAGACGCCAGGACCCCUCCCC